CCAAUUACAAAGUUUUUUUUCUUUUCUUUGUUACCUUUAUGAAAAAUGUUGUGCUUUAAGUAUAAGCUUAAAUUUUCUGACGCACCACCAGGUGGUCUAUAACAACAACUUAGUAGAAUGCUUUUGCUUUUUAACUUUUCGCUUUUAUUGUUUAAAAUUUCAAUUGUAACGAUUUUUUUUAUCGCCAUCAGAAACGCACAAAUCAUUCCUAACGUUAUGCGCAAUGUUUUGUUGUACGUAAAUCAGAAUUCCUCCACCGCGUUUAUUUAAUUGUCUUUCUAAUAAGAUUGUUUCAAAAUUAGGAAGAUGGAAACUAGAGUUAUUAUAAUUGUAUAGGUAUUAGAAAGAAGGCAUUCAAAAACGCAUAUUAAUACAAAAAUAUAUAUGUUGAAAUAAUUAUAACAAAUUGUGUAUUUCUAACGCCAACAUAACAGCUUAAGUUAGUUACAUUUGUUUGUAAAAUUGGUGGAAUAGAGCUGAUAAAAACCACUGCAUAUGUUGUGUCGCGACGUUACUAAUAAACAUGGAUGGUCCAGGAAAUAUAAAUAAUUUUAUGCGGUUACAAAUCAGGUUACGAAAUCAGACGAUCAGGAUACGAAUCUUGAAGAUGAUGUUGCUUAAGAUCAGGCGCGUUAUAAACAUGCGGUAGACGGUAUACUAGGAAGAUUUUUGAUAAUGCAUAAACCAGAGAAAACAGUGAUCCGAAAUAUAUAUUUAUGAGUUUAUUAAUUUUAUUUGUAACCCAUAAUUUAAUUUUAAUGUAAAGUUUUAUUUUCUGCUAA